UAAAGAUACUUCCGUCACGAAAAUCGGGCGGCCUGCGGAGAUCCCGGGGGUGGUGAGAUUCCAAUGA
rnacentral:ncRNA from 1 species